GCAUGAAUUAACAGAAUUAAACUGUUUGUCAUCAAAAGAUGAGUGUACAAAAUCAGGAGUAUAUUUGCGUAAAAAAUCAUUGACCCAUGAUAUAUCUUUAAAAUGAUUUUGACGAUGUUUUGAAUUUAGUUUUCUCAUAUUUUGCCAAACAGUGGAAAUUGGUGUUAAUCUAUUAAAUUUGGAACAAAAUUCCUGCCACCCCUGUUGUCUUACUUGCUUAAUUACUAACUUUUUAACAGCUUGAACUCUUUUAAAAUUUAUGUAAUUAUCGAGAGUUGGAUUUUGUUUAAACCUAAGGUAAGCCGCUUUACUAUCAUUGACAGCUGUCGCACACCUGUUAUUCCACCAAGGUACUGCAAUAUGUUUGUGCCUCUUUGAAGUAUUUGCACCGCUAUUUGAUAAGUUCCUACGUGGAACGGAACGUUCCACAGCUGUCAAAAUAAUUUUACAGAACCUAUUGUAAUUGUUUAAGGGUUCAUUGACAUCAUACUCGAAAUCCAAAAGUAAUUGAUUAACAGUUUCAGAAUAAAGAUCCCAAUUAACGAGACAUGCUGCAACGCUCAGAAUUCUUACAGAAUUUAGCUAAAUGUCCAUACCUCAAGCACCGGUAGCAUUGUUUAACUGGUGGUAUAUAUGGAGUGACAUUGUGGCGCCAACCUCCAAUAUCCAGAUAUUCAGGUAAUACAGAUGCAGCAAAAGUAAUUGUCACGGUUAGAGUUGGCUGUAACACAUAUCCAUGAGUCAAGGUAUUUUUUCUUAAAAUUCUUUUAAUAGCAAUAAUUUUCUUAGAACUCGAUAUCAUAGUAUAUAUUUUUUUAUUAGAUAUAUUUGUAGGUACAUUUCUAAUAACGCCUGUAACUUCUGUUGAAGAAGCAGGAAUACUGGCCUUAAAAUGGUAGUCAUUUAAAAAAGUUUUAUUAUUUAAAAAAGCAUUGGCUAAGUCUGGCUUUUGAAAGUAUACUCCGAUUUUGAAUUUAUUUAUAGAUCUAAGAUAAGUUACCCCUUUAUUAAAUCGUUUUAAACAGGAGGAGAGUGAGAGCAAGUCUCUGGAUCCAAUGGUUUUCUGACUAUCUGAGGAUUCUACAAAGACAACAAAUUCUGUCCCAGGGGAUUCCUCGGGAUAUCUUCUAAUAUAAUCUGUGACGUAGUAAGGUUUAUACUUAUCGGCCUUAUCAAUUUCAGAUUCUGAGUCAGUAGAAGUAUCUUCCGAAUAUAUAUCCUUGUCAUUACAAGGUUCAUGGUCUACAUCACCUGAAUCGUCAUCUUUUUUUUUCCUUUUUCUACAACUGCGCUUCCCCAUGAAUGCUAAUUAUAUUACUGUCGCUGAAUUUAGUGAGAAUAUAAUAUUUUAUUCAAUAAUAAGAAUUGAUAGAGAUAGUUUUAAUAAAUUAAUAAAAAAAAUUUAAAAAA